GUUCUAAAUGUUCCUCUUACUUGGAUGAAUCGAGCCUAGCCCUUCAACUUGGGGGUCUAUAGUUGAGGUUCUGGCUAUUGACUAGAAGGAUAGAAAAAGAGGGUUGGGGAGGAUAUAUCCAUGUCCGAGUUAGGAUGGACAUUACUAAGCUAUUGUGUAGAGUUUUUAAAUUCCAGAGUUUGGGUUUGAAUGGAUAGUUUUGGUAAACUACAAGAGGCUCCCAAACUCCU
rnacentral:lncRNA from 1 species